GUGAGCGUGUCGCCCGGGUUCGGGUCGGUGUCGUUGCCGGCCACGUCCACGGUCACCGGGGUCUGCGCCGCGGUGGUGUCCGCGUCGUCCACG
rnacentral:tRNA from 1 species